GAGAGUAAUUCUUGCCUGUUGGUAAGAAAUGCUUUUGUUCUGGUUUCUCUUUGCCCACCAUGGAGAAGGGAAAAAAAAAGCCACAACACUGGAUCUGUCCCAUUGUCAUGGAGUUAUCUGAGUCCGUGACAAGGGGGGAACAGGCCCGGAAUAAAAAGGAGAGACAAAAGGGCGACGAAAAAAAAAAAAGGGCUACCAGCAACGUGCCGCGCGAUCCGGCCGGCCCCGGGCUCACAGCAGGGCGCGCUGCGGGCCGCGCUCCGGGACGGGGAGUGGGACGAAAGGGCAGAGAGCCGGCAGAUGGGUUUAACAAAAGGAACACACCGGCAACGAUGUGAGGAGGAACGGUAAUUCACUAAAUCCAACGAAAUCAAACCAGAUGAGAGAGAAGAGUACCCGAAGCGCGAGGGAGGCACGUGCCCUUCUCCGCAGCGAGCGGAGGGAUGGACGGCCGGGAGCUCCACCUCACUUCCCCUCCGCGCUGAGUCUUCCGGGGAUGGCGCCUCUCCUCUCCCAUCAGAAUACUCAAAAUGCCCAUAAGAGGCAGUAAACGGAACCAGAACAUGAAGUCUUUAACUCCUACUGGUUCACGUGAUGUUCUGGUGUGGAAUACUGACAACAAAAAAAAUCACCAAACAGCAAACUGAUGUUGCAGGUGUGCUUUGGUGAUACCUGCUGUGCCACAUGGCUUCUAUUUACUUCAGGAAAUGAUGUGCAGUAAAAAAGAUGUGGCAUUUGCCACCGAAUUAAAAAUAAUAAUAAUAAAAACAGCAGCUUAAGUUCUUAAUGAAAAAAUCAGGUUUGUUUAUCUUUGGAGUAGCUAGCUUUAUAUUUAGGAGGCUAUAUUUAUUUAUUUCUUUUUCACCCAUUCUUUCAAAAUUACCUAUUCUUGUCAAAUUGAUUAGUGCUGUUAUUUGGUAGAACUGUGUAUUGAUAACAGACCUUUCCCAUCUCUGCAAGCUUCUUUGAGCUUAAUUUACUGUUUUGUGCAUAUUAGUUGAGUCUAAACUUGGCCGCUCUUCCUUUACCACUAAUGAUUUUUGCAAAAAGAGGUUGGUGAGGAGCAGGAACAAUCUGCAAAUUUUGGAAGCCUUCAGUAAUUUUCUCUGUAUAGUGGGCUGUUCUGCUCUUUGCAUUUUGAUCACAUAAUCUCACUGUUAUGCACUGAAUGUGACAUCAUCAUCAUUGAUAGUUUUCUUCUUGGGUUAAAAAUAUACAUAUACACAGUAUUCCUCCACCUGGAUUAUGUUUUGUCCUUGGCUUCUAAGUUCCAAGCUCACCUUUUCAAGUGUAUUGUCUCUUUGCAGCCGGGUCAAACAAGGUUUGAACUCUAAAUUUUAAACCUGUCUGAGCAUCUCAAAGUCUCUUACAAGGUUAUUUUUAUUUUACUUAUUUCCGUGGUUAUUAUCGACUCAUAAUGACUUCUAGUUCUGGUAGUUAACAGUUUCAUGGAAUAGAGCCUUUUGAGGAUUGUUGUUCCAAAUCAUUGUAAUCGUACCAGCUAUAUCAUCAGCAGUGAAUGCUAAAGCGUGACUCUGUGUAGUAAAUAUUGUGAACCUCACCAUAACUUGGCAAUGCCUUUCUGAAGUCUUACUGCUAAUGUAGGCAGCAAGUUUAAGUACUUGAAUGGCGUCAGAUUGUCCCGUAACCUACUUUAUCAGCUUUUCAACAGUCACAAGAUUUGCAGUGUUUAUUUCCAGCCACUGUAUCAUUUGGCUCAAAAAUGAUCUCUUCCUGCUUUCCUCUUACUGCUAUUAAAUUGUCCAAGUAUAAUGUGGUUCAACUGCCAGGUUUACUUUUGUCUUGGAGUUGUAUAUUUUGCCUGUUUCUCACUCUUACUAAGUACCAUUUUUGUCUGACACUCUUUUAUUGAAGUGAUCUUUUCCUGUUACGAAUGUUACUUUUAGCAGCUACUGUGCAAGUCCUCAUUAUUUAUUAAAUUUUGAGCUUAAAGUUGUCAUGAAAGCCAAAGAAAUGUACAGCAGCAGUGAUAGCUGUUUGCAGUCACUUCGUGCACUGAUGCAUGUACUUCAAUCUGAUGCAUUUAUAACAUAUUUUCAAGAUGAGUUUGUAAAUCCUGCUCUAUGAGGGGUUGCACAUGGGCCUUCUGGCUAAACCUGAUUGAGUUUUGUGGCUUUCCCAGGUGGAGCUGCCCGUUCAGUCCCACUAGGGGGCGUCUCUUACGUGCUUAACGCUGCCUGAUUUCAGGGGAAUCCAUUUUAAAUACGCGAUGGUGCUGAGGAGUUAAGUGGCUAAGCAGCCCUACCGCAGAUUCUUCCAUGCUGGAAGUCUGGAAGUCUGGUUGUUUUCCAGAAGGGGAGAAGUUACUAGAGUAUAAAGGUGAAGGAGGAUGGAAUGAGCUCUUUGUUAUGACUCAGGCUGAACUCCGUGCAAGACCUGAUAACAUCUACCUUAACAUCAGACUUGUUGCAUUGUACCACUCACAUAAUAAAUUAAGAGAUGCUGUGCUCCUUAUUCAGGAGGCAGAGAAGAAAACAGCCUUGGAGAUGAGCUUGGAAUGGUGUUCCUGCACUGUGAAGACACUUGAGAAAGAUGGUGGUUCCUUAUCCUCUGAUGAACUUUAUUCUUUAGUCCAGGACAUGGAAUUUAAUACACAGAAUUGGAGAGCUAUCAAGAGCGCUCAUCUACUGGCUCAUCCUAGCUUUAUUAAAAUGAAAUUUGUUUCUGGAGAUGUUCAUCAAUGGAGAGAGGCACUUGAAAGUUUUGAUCAUCUCCUUCACUCUGUGAAACAGCAUGUGAGAGAACCUGAGGAGCUGUCUUACACCUUCCUUGAAAUGAAAGGACAGCUAUACGUGCAUGCUGGAACAUUUCUGCUAAAACUGGCCCAGAACAGUGAGGCUCAGUGGACAGAUGCAUGUCAACUGGCAGCAUUGUGUUGCUUGAAAAGUUUCAAUGUUCCUAAACCCUAAAGUCGAAACUAAUAAAGGGGGAUCCUGCUGGACAAGACAAGCAGGAAAUUUUGGCUUGUGAUUGAAAAAGCCAGUCUGGUCAUAUGUUGCUGAACAUAUGGCAAGGAAUAUUUCUUGAAAGAGACUGUGGAAUCUUGUGCCAACACAAGGGGCUUAUUGACAUUGUUUGAAAGCCUCUUUGGGAGGGGAGCUUCUCAAGAGAGUUCUUUCCUUGGCACAGAUGAGAUAGGCACUGUCAGUACACAAGCACCAAUGCAAGAAAAACGUAAUAAAUACAAUACUGGUGCUGUUCAAAUGCACAACGAUAGUAUCCAGCACCUUGUGUGGCUCGGUUUGCAGUGGAACUCUAGGCCAGUGUCACCCUCAACGCGGCAUCUGUUAAAACAACUUUUCCACUUGCCCUAAGAAACAUCAAGGCAUGAGACAGAUGCUCCUGAAUCCAUAUGCCUGUUAGAUCUUGAAGGCUCUAGCCUGGCUCACAUUUCUGUGACCAGAGGGAAUACAUGGGACAAAGUAUCUAUUACUGGAAGAAAAUUCUGAUUACUUUGGAAACCAUCAAAAAGAACAAAAGUAUUCCUGAACCAACUGAAUGUGCUGCAAGUUUCAAAGCCAGCAGUAAUACUGCACAAGAGAAAGUUAGAUUAGCCUUUGCUAAAAAGGAAGGCCAAUGGGACUGUAACAUCUGUUCAGUGAGAAACAAACCCACUGCGUCCUAACGUUUAGCCUGCCAGAAUCCAAGCAAAACUGAUACAAAAGCAUCUCUCCAACAAUUUUCCUUUAAAUCUGAACAAGUAGAUGCUCCAAAGAUCACUCAAAAUUACUUGAGAACUGCUUUUCCUACAGCUGUUCUAUCUGCCUAAUCCAAAACAAAGCAAGUGAUGAAAAUUGUUGUUCCUAUAAGAAUCGAAACUCGCGAAGUCAACCUAAUGUGCUAGUAUCCAUUGUUCAGGUGGAUUUUUAUACAUAUAUAAUGUGUUCAUAUGAUAUAUUAUACCUGUUAAAUUUCAGAAGACUGAGAGCCGUAUUUUAUUUGUUUUGUUAGCAUGGAAGUAAAAGGUGACUUCUGGAACAGUAAAAGUUUCAGAAACAGCUACCAUGGUAUUACGUUGAGAUUAGUUAGUAAAAAGCACAGAUUUCCCAUGAGUAAUUUGAAACAAGUCCUCUUCAGUUGCUGUUUAAUGUCUUCUGGAAUUUCAAAAAUGCAAAGCUAUUCAGUAUUACAUGUUGCUGCAGACAGCUUUUCUUUUUUUCUCAGUCCUGGAUUUUGAUUCUCCACCUCUGUGGAUGACACUUCUAUAGCUCUUCUCCAUAAUCCUGUAUUAUUUAAUGUAAGGACAUAAAUUAUCUUUGAGACAGUAUAAAGACGCAGGCUUGUUCCUGACCUGGACUUGAAUUACAAAGGCAGUACUAUAAGACGUAAUUGGGCAUGGAGAUUGGAACUUGUUACAUUGCAACAUGAUCUGUAACUUGUCUGUCCCAGCAUUCUCUAACCUGAACGGCUUUUUCCUGUGGACAAAGAGAAAAUGUGCAGGCUCCAAAUCUGUUUCUCACUACCUACAAAUUAAUUCAGUUCAGUAAUCAGGGUGUUGUGGGGUUAAUGUUGCUAUUGUUCUGAAGUAAUUGAAUCUUCAUGUUAUGUUCAAUUUCUGUCCAAAGCUGAGAUGAUGACUGUGCCAUCAGAUGAUCCACCAUCUGAUGAUGUUAUAAUUGUUGAUGAGCUAACACUCACCCCAGAGCAGAGAGCUCUAGCUGGCUUUCUCAAGCUACCUUCAACAUUAUUCUGUUUUGAGAAUAAGCCUGAAUACAUACCUGAGGAGGAGGAUGGUAAAGAGUAUCCAAGUUGAUUUUUGUGUUGCUUUUUUUUGUGGGGAAGGGGUAUUGUACUAUUAGAACCAACAGACGCUGAUAUCGUUUGGACUGAUGGGCAGUAAUUCUCCUUCCAUCUGCCUUUUGGGCAAGGAUCAUGUGUCUCCCUUCCUAAAUCUGUUGUGUAGUACUCUUAAUAAAAUUCCCAAGGUGCUUGUUUUCUGAAAACACGAAACCUAUGCCAGACAUCUAGGCUGAAAAGCUGCCAAUAGUGUAAUAAAGCACCUGUACACAAAUAGGAAUGGGAAGCGUACUUGCUGAUGUGUAAAGCUCUUAAAACAUAUGCAGAGGUUUUGUAUGCUUGCUGGGCUUGUAAGUCUUAAAGGCUUAACAGACUUAGACUUCUCUGUAUUUGGAGCAUCACUGAGAACUUCCACUUGUUUCCUAUAUUUAAGAUGAAGACUAUGAAGACUAUGAAACAGCUGUUAAGAAAGUGAACGGAAGAUUGUAUCAAAUCAAAAAGGGAAAAGGAAAUUGCAAGUAAGCAUCACAGGCAAGACUGAAUUGGAAAGUGAACAUGCUGCUACUUUGGAAAAUCAGCCAGCUCCUGGGGAGAAAGCUGUAGGAGGAACUCUGCAGGUUCCUUCUACAUCUACCUGGGGCAUUAACAGUGAUGCUGAAGAUGAGAAUCCAGAAGACUCUUAGACGGAAGUUAUAAUUCAAAACAUGAAAAUACAAAUGAAGUCUUUACAAAAGGUUUUGUCACAUAAUUCAUAGAAUUAUUCUCACAUCUCCAAGACAUGACUAUUUUCACUCUGUGAGGAAAAAAACAUGCAGCAGAGGAAACACAGUCUGAUUCCUUUGACUCCCUCAAGUCUUUUCUAACACUGGAAGUGAGGCACCAAUCUUAAGUUUCUCAGGGAGAGAAAGAAGUUACAGCUGUGUCAGUGGUUUACGGGCUGGUUCGGCCCGGUUCCAUGAUUAAUGGGGCAAUGGGACCCAUGUACCCAUGCCUUGGGAAAGGGAAAAUGGGAAAAGAGGAAAGGGCAGGGAGGGAUACGGGCCUGAAAACAAAACAGCGGCAACAAUCUGAGGAGGAAAGCUAUUUGUGCAAGAUAACACAAUAUAGUACAGUGUAAUUGGAAUGAAGCUAAUAAAAUCAAAUCAAAUGAGAUAGAGUGUGUCCAGAAACGGAAGGCCCUACUCUAGUGCUGAAGGUGAGACAGCUGCCAGGAUGAGCAGAAAGGGUAAAGAGAGUGUCUCAAGACCUGCGGACAGUGUUAUCUUUCUCUCUCAACGGAAAACAGAAACAGAACAAUGCAAAGUCCUCUGGAGUACGUCGUUUUUCUCUUCUGAGAACCAGGUACUUGGUGAACUUGGUACUUGUCCACGGUCCACAAAACAGGAGCAUUAACUCUUUAACUCCCAGUGCACUGCAUGAUGUUAUGAUGUGGAAUACCGAUAACAAAAAUUAUAAAACUAUGCCAUUCCACCCCUUAUUCCACAUCACUACAUCAUGCUUAAUAUAUACAUGCAAACAAACAAUAAUUAACAUGCAUUAAACAUACACACAUAUAUAUACAUGUAUAUACGUGGAACGACUGACUGCACUCCCCCAAUAUCAAAUUCCCUUGUGGUAUACAUUGAACAUUCCUGUAUUUCUGCAUCACCCACUGAGUGGACACAGGUUCCCUGGGCAAAAACAGUUCCAUGGAGAGGUUUGCCCUUCCCAGAAUCUAGAAGGACACAAACUACUUUUCCUAACAUGUUCUUUGCGUGUACUAUAGGGACCUUAUCUUCCACUACAUUGUGUAGGGGGCUGGAUUGGGCAGGACUAUCUUGACUGAUAGAUCCUUGACUAUUGUCCAAGCAGGUAGCUUCUGCCAAAUGCUCCCCCCAGUGCCUAAACAUUCCACCACUCACUGUUUUCAACAUAGUUUUUUAACAACCCAUUAUAUUAUUCAAUUUCACCAGAAGCUGGUGCAUGAUAAGGGAUAUGAUCUUUGGCCCAAAUAUUUACAAGAGAAUUUUUGAAAUGAAUCCCUUUAUCUGAUUCAAUUCUUUCUGGAGUGUCAUGUCACCAUUGGACUUGUUUCUUGAGAUUUAAUAUGGUGUUUCGGGCAGCAGCAUGGGGUACUGCAUAUGUUUCAAGCCACCCAGUGGUUGCCACCACCGUGGUAGACUGUGUUUUUGCAGAGGAAGUUUCCAGGAAUUUCUGUUUACAGUUACAGAAGUUUUUCACAACGAAAGCUGAACAGACUGAAGUUGCGGUUGAGGCAUACUGACUUGGGUAGAAAUGAGACAGGCACAAGACUAGGGAAAUAUGCAGGGUGGAGAGAGCAUAACACAGGACAGAACAAUAUGCUAACUUUUGGAAACAUUGCCCUCCUAUCUCCAUAGAAAAGUACAAAACAUACCUAAAAACAACAUGUUGGUAACAGACCUUAUAUGGAGAUGUAAUGUAGCAGCAGCAUCGGGAAAAUUGUGAGUCUGAGAUGCCCAACCAAUGAGUGCCAGGGUAGAGAUUGUCUGCAUUGGACCCAGGGUAUAUAACGGAAUGGAUUUCACUGACUAGGCAUGCAAUUUCUCACUUGCCAGUAGGGUGCAUGUGCCCGUUGCAAUAAUUAAUAAACUUGUGGUUUUCACAAA